rnacentral:rRNA from 1 species
AUUGAACGCUGGCGGCAUGCUUUACACAUGCAAGUCGAACGGUAACAGGGAGCUUGCUCCGCUGACGAGUGGCGAACGGGUGAGUAAUAUAUCGGAACGUACCCAAGAGUGGGGGAUAACGUAGCGAAAGUUACGCUAAUACCGCAUACGAUCUAUGGAUGAAAGUGGGGGAUCGCAAGACCUCAUGCUCCUGGAGCGGCCGAUAUCUGAUUAGCUAGUUGGUGAGGUAAAGGCUCACCAAGGCGACGAUCAGUAGGUGGUCUGAGAGGACGACCAGCCAAACUGGAACUGAGAAACGGUCCAGACUCCUACGGGAGGCAGCAGUGGGGAAUUUUGGACAAUGGGCGCAAGCCUGAUCCAGCAAUGCCGCGUGAGUGAAGAAGGCCUUCGGGUUGUAAAGCUCUUUUGUCAGGGAAGAAACGGGAGUGGCUAAUAUCCAUUCCUAAUGACGGUACCUGAAGAAUAAGCACCGGCUAACUACGUGCCAGCAGCCGCGGUAA